UUGAACGCUGGCGGCAGGCCUAACACCUGCAAGUCGAACGGUAACAGGAAGCAGCUUGCUGCUUCGCUGACGAGUGGCGGACGGGUGAGUAAUGUCUGGGAAGCUGCCUGAUGGAGGGGGAUAACUACUGGAAACGGUAGCUAAUACCGCAUAAUGUCGCAAGACCAAAGAGGGGGACCUUCGGGCCUCUUGCCAUCGGAUGUGCCCAGAUGGGAUUAGCUUGUUGGUGGGGUAACGGCUCACCAAGGCGACGAUCCCUAGCUGGUCUGAGAGGAUGACCAGCCACACUGGAACUGAGACACGGUCCAGACUCCUACGGGAGGCAGCAGUGGGGAAUAUUGCACAAUGGGCGCAAGCCUGAUGCAGCCAUGCCGCGUGUAUGAAGAAGGCCUUCGGGUUGUAAAGUACUUUCAGCGGGGAGGAAGGGAGUAAAGUUAAUACCUUUGCUCAUUGACGUUACCCGCAGAAGAAGCACCGGCUAACUCCGUG
rnacentral:rRNA from 1 species